rnacentral:lncRNA from 10 species
UAUACAGAAAGAGAAACUUCACAAAGGUAUUUGAAACUGAGGCCUAAAAGGAAGGGAGUGGAACUUACCUUAUGAUCCCACUGCCAUUUAUUGAUUAAUCUAUGUUUCCUCACCUGUGAGAUGAGAGUCACCAGCACAUCAUGUACAAGAAAUUCUCAUGCAUCAACAGCACAACAGUUUGGAUCUCCAUAGAUACACCUGCAUUAAGUCCACAUCUCUUCGGGCCAAAUUAUGACAGUAAACUGGUGAGUAUAGAUAAACCCUGUGGCAGUAGAGUAAAUGUAAAUUGGUGUCUGUCACACAUGAAGCUGCUGUUGGUAAUUUCCAGGGAUUGAGACAGAGAAGAUAGCAUUUGUGAGAUCAGUCACUAAACACCAGUCUUUUUUAACAUCUUGUAGUUACUGCAUUAUGGAAACCAUGUCUGGGACUGAUGAGGCUAUGUCAGGUACAACUUAAUUUAAGCCUCACUGGCCUGUUAGUUUCCAUGAGACAUUCAUUUUUUUAUGGGCCAUACAAGGGCUAUUUUACAGAAAAUGUGUUGUUACCAGCAUUUCAGCUUCUAGCAUGUUAGUAUUAGUGAACCCUGUAUAGAUAUAUAAUGUAUACAUAGAUACAUAAGAGUGGAUUUACUAUGAGAAUUGGUUUGUGUAGUUAUGGAACCUGAGAAGGCCCACAGGAUGCUAUCUGCAAACUAGAGAGCCAGGGAAGUUGAUGGUGUGGUUCAGUCUGUGUCCAAAGGCCUUAGAACCAGAGAAGCUCUCAUAUCUGAGGGCAGGAGUAAAUACAAUUUCCCAGCUCCAUCAAGAAAGCACAUUUACCCUCUCUCUUUCUUUUUGUUUUGUCCAGGCCCUCAGUGAAUUGAGUGAUUCCUGUUCACAUUGCUGAGAGCAGAUUUUCUUUAUCCAGUAACUGACUGAAAGCUAAAUUUCUUCCAGAAAUACAUUCACACACGCACCUAGAAAUAACAUUUUACCAGGGCCUAGGUAUUCCUCAACCCAGUCAAGUUGCACUUAAAAGUAACCAUCACUUAUGUCAUUAAUUAAAAUGGUAUCUAAGUAUUCUAUAUUGUUUUAAAUUAACAAUUUCUAUGGGUUCAGGCAUUUCUACUGGUUCCCGGAUAGCUUAUUCAAUUAAAACUAGUCUGAGAGAGGAUUGUCACGCUUUCUAUUUUACAGCAUUAGGUAGGAAAAGAAAUAUUCAGUGAAACAUAGUAUCUGUUUCAAUAGUACGUACAGGCAAAGGAUAUAUGACAAAAACUCACAAGUUUUAUCCAAACUUAUUCUCUAAUCUCAUUAAUCAUUGCAUCACUGUAGCCUCCCAAUCUAACCUUAGUCACCAUUAAAACUUCACUAGCAGUUUGCAGAAUCACAGUGCAUUUGGCUCCGGGAAGUAAAUGUUAGUAGCCUAUAAGCAACCUGGUCUAAGUUAUUCAGGUACAGCAGCCCAAAUGCAGCAAGAAAGUGAGGAACAGGCAUAUUCAGUGGGUGAAUAUCCCAUCCAUUAUGAAGCCAGUCCCAAUUAGCUUGCAUAGAAAGUAUACUAACUGCUUUAUCUGCAGUGUCUCACUUGACAUUUACAGCUGAAGUUGGGAAGUCCAUUUUAUCUGGUCCACUAGCCUGGCUGUUGCCUUGGGAAUACCUUCCUGUGUGUCUGGAUCACAUAGAGCUAUGUGUAAUUAUGCUAGUGAACUGUGGGUCUUGUGUCAGCCCAAAUAUGCUCUUCCCUUCUGCAGCAUUUAAAAUCAAAUACACUACUUCCAAAUUAGUCAC